AUGAAGGUUCGCUCUGAAUAAAACGGCCCGCAAUAUAUGUAUGAGGCAUAUUGAAGACAAUAACAUUAUGUUCUCGGCUUUGUUAAGUAACAACACCUUAUAUAGUCAUACCUUUUAAGACAGUUACAUAUAGUUUAGUACCUGAUAUCAAGCGAUAGGAAUUAUUUUAAGAAAGCUCUUCUAAAGGUUGUGGCCCAGACCCUCACAUCAUGGACACAGCAAGCUCCUCAUAUAGAGUACAUCAAUGCUCUAAGUGUCCGGGAGACACAGGGUACUUUUGUGUAUCGUGUCCAUGUGAUCUUUGUCCCCAGUGUAAAGAGAAUCAUGUAAAAGAUCUCAAAACAAUAGACCAUGAUGUUGUGUCACACCGUGAUAAAAUCAAUUACAUCCCAACACAAGAGAUCUGUGUGAAACAUCCUAGCCAUGUUUAUACAAAGUACUGUGAACCUUGUCAAGUUCCUGUGUGUGAUUCUUGGUUUGGACAUAAAUCACACAAACUCCCUGUCAGAGUUUGUCUCUUUGGACAAAAAAAGCACAAAAUUCAGGAUAUACAAAAAGCUUAUAAAAGAAAGCGACAACAACACAGAAGAAUCAUUCACACAUUCAGAAGUGAGGCUCUCUUUUACAGACCUGUUCUCCUGACAGGAAUCAAAGCUGAUGUCAAAACCUGUCACACAGAAUUCUCCUUUCUUCAAUCAAAGAUGUUAACAAAGGCCCAGAGACUGAAGGAUCUCAUUGACGAUGUGAUUUAUGAUCUAUUGAACAAUGUGUUUUGUGACUUUGAUUUCAAACACAGAUGUAAAAAACAAAAGAUAGAAAUGAGCAGACAUAUUGUCAGACUAAGGAGAUAUGAACACAGAUAUGUACAGCCAGCAUUCAUAUUCAGUGCGCUACAAUUCCUCUCAUUCACAAAGACAGCCCUCCCCCAGAUACAUCUUACACUCCACACUAGCCAUCUCUCCAUGACUGAGUCACUCAACAAGGAGGAUGUGAUGGAGUCACUGAGUGCAAUCCAAAUUACAGAGAGAGGAAACCGACGCGUAGGAAACCAGUGUCUGCUGAAACUGACGUCUGGUGCUGAGUUCCAUCAAUCUCUCACAGUGACAGGUGUUGGUUGUUGUGAUCACAUUUCCUGUGUUACAUCAGACCGGGUCUGGGUCAGUGAUAGAGAAAACAAUCUUAUAUUGACAGACACAACAGGUGUCCCUCUACAACGUGUGGAGGUUUCAUGGAGUGGUAGAGGAUUACACACAGUAAACAGUGAGAGUGAACUGAUUUAUAUAGAUAUAAAUGAUAACAUCAACAAACUGUCAAAGGAUAUGAAAAGAACCACCACAUUUAUAGAGAGAACAGGCUCUACAUGGAGACCACAAUGUGUGUACUUGUCCCCGUUCACUGGGGAUCUACUGGUCGUUAUGUAUCAGUAUAGGACAAAGACAGGCAAGGUAACCCGGUAUAACCAGAGUGGACAACUCACACAAACCAUACAAUACAACAACACAGGACGGGGACAGUAUAGAUCACCUUGCUAUAUAACAGAGAACAACAAUGGGGAUGUCGUGGUGUCUGACUAUAUAGACUUUGUGUCUGGUGCUGUAGUGGUGACAGAGCGUGGAGGAAGACAUCUUUUCUCCUACACGGGACAUCCAUCAGGAUCACGACUAUAUCCACAUGGAAUCUGUACUGACGCGCUGUCACACAUCCUGGUGUGUGAUGUAGGAACCAACACAGUACAGAUGUUAAAUAAGGACGGUCAGUUCCUGUCACAUCUACUGACAAAAUCACCAGUGAUGCGUGGACCACGGAGCCUGAGUUAUGAUGUCAACACUCACCGUCUCUGUGUCGGAUCAUGGAACAACAACAAGGUGUGUGUCUACAGGUAUAUCACCAGACAGGACGCUCUGACAGAUGAACACAUACCCCGUCCUGAUGGAGACACCCGAUACACGACAUCUCGUCACAACACAACUCAUUAACUAAACGAAAAUGAACACACACCCCGUCCUGAUGAGGAGGCCAUGUCCAGCUCAUCACCAGCCGUAUAAUGGAGAUAGCUGGGAUAUUGACAGACAAGCUGCUUUUUUAAAAUGCCUUCAGGCCAGUUGAAGUGGACACAGUAGAAAAAACCUGCCCGGAUUACCCAUAAUUCCAAUGGAGGUACAGAAGUCAAGUAAUUACCCGACAUCAAUGGACUCCGUUUCUGUGUACAUGGACUCAACAUAAAUAACGCGUCAUCAAUGGACUCCGUUUCUGAGUACCGUACAUGGACUCAACAUAAAUAUCGCGUCAUCAAUGGACUCCGUUUCUGUGUACAUGGACUCAACAUAAAUCUCGCGUCAUCAAUGGACUCCGUUUCUGUGAACCUGGACUCAACAUAAAUAUCGCGUCAUCAAUGGACUCCGUUUCUGUGUACCGUACAUGGACUCAACAUAAAUAUCGCGUCAUCAAUGGACUCCGUUUCUGUGUACAUGGACUCAACAUAAAUAUUGCGUCAUCAAUGGACUCCGUUUCUGUGUGCCGUACAUGGUUCAACAUAAAUAACGCGUCAUCAAUUGACUCCGUUUCUGUGUACCGUACAUGGACUCAACAUAAAUAACGGGUCAUCAAUGGACUCAACAUAAAUAUCGCGUCAUCAAUGGACUCUGUUUCUGUGUACCAAACAUGGACUCAACAUAAAUAACGCGUCAUAAACUCAACAUUAAUUUGUUAUUCAUUCUAUUUUAUUUGGUUAUAUUUAGCAUUAGUUUGUCAUUUAUUAAUUCUGUUUAGUAUUAGUUGCUAUUUGACAGUUGUACUAUAUGUGUGUUUUACAUAAUAAACUCCUGAGAUUUCUUAUAAAUCUUUGGUGUUUUUUUGGUGCUGGGACAGAGAUAUUUCUUUAGAAAUGUGACGAAUGUGUAAUGAAUUUUUUUCAGUUUUGAUUUGCACACAAGAAAUUGUUUAAACAACACAUGCAAAGGGGAUAACUCCAACUUGUAUUCUUCUGUUUAAAAUGAAAGAAAGUUACCCCCCCUUGUACUAAUGUUUUUCUAGAGUUAUCUGUAUUUUAUGUUGUUGAUCUCUGACAUUUUUGUGUAGGAGAGUUUAUUGAGUAUCAGUUAAUAUAUUAUUACAAAAUGCCAUGAUAAGUGUAAUUUGUGACAAGGGAGAGAGGGGGAUCCUGCGUUGAAAUUUGACCUAAAUGCUGUUUUUAGCUCACCUGAGCCAAAGGCUCAAGUGAACUUUUCUGAUCACAAUUUGUCCGUUGUCUGUCGUUGUCGUCGUCGUUGUCGUUGUCGUUAACUUUUCACAUUUUCAUCUUCUUCUCAAGAACCAAUGGGCAGAUUUCAACAAAUUUAGCACAGAGCACCACUAGGCCCUCUUUAAAGGGGAGACAAUUGAGAAUUAUUGAAAAUUUGUUGGUAUUUUUCAAAAAUCUUCUUCUCAAAAACUAUUUGGCCUGAAAAGCUAAAACUUGUGUGGAGGCAUCCUCAGGUAGUGUAGAUUCAAGUUUGUUCAAAUCAUGGUCCCUGGGGGAAAGGAGGGGCCACAAGAAGGGGAUCAAGUUUUACAUAGGAAUAUAUAGAGAAACUCUUUAAAAAUCUUCUUCUCAAAAACUAUUCGGCC